rnacentral:rRNA from 1 species
UACGUAGGCAGCGAGCGUUGUUCGGAGUUACUGGGCGUAAAGGGUGUGUAGGCGGUUUUCUAAGUUUGGUGUGAAAUCUCCCGGCUUAACCGGGAGGGUGCGCCGAAAACUGGGAAGACGUAGAGUGCGGGAUGGGGAGGAGUAGAAUUCCUGGUGUAGCGGUGAAAUGCGUAGAUAUCAGGAGGAAUACCGGUGGUGUAGACGGCUCUCUGGACCGCAACUGACGCUGAGACACGAAAGCGUGGGUAGCAAACAGG